AGAGUUUGAUCCUGGCUCAGGACGAACGCUGGCGGCAUGCCUAAUACAUGCAAGUCGAGCGCGGGAAGCAGACUGAAGCCUUUCGGGUGGACGUCUGUGGAACGAGCGGCGGAUGGGUGAGUAACACGUGGGCAACCUGCCUACAAGACUGGGAUAACUCGCGGAAACGCGAGCUAAUACCGGAUGAUACUUUUCAUCGCAUGAUGAAAAGAUGAAAUGACGGUUUCGGCUGUCACUUGUAGAUGGGCCCGCGGCGCAUUAGCUAGUUGGUGGGGUAAUGGCUUACCAAGGCGACGAUGCGUAGCCGACCUGAGAGGGUGAUCGGCCACACUGGGACUGAGACACGGCCCAGACUCCUACGGGAGGCAGCAGUAGGGGAUCUUCCGCAAUGGACGAAAGUCUGACGGAGCAAUGCCGCGUGAGUGAUGAAGGUUUUCGGAUCGUAAAACUCUGUUGUUAGGGAAGAACAAGUACGUUAGUAACUGAACGUACCUUGACGGUACCUAACCAGAAAGCCACGGCUAACUACGUGCCAGCAGCCGCGGUAAUACGUAGGUGGCAAGCGUUGUCCGGAAUUAUUGGGCGUAAAGCGCGCGCAGGCGGCUAUUUAAGUCUGAUGUGAAAUCUUGCGGCUUAACCGCAAGCGGUCAUUGGAAACUGGAUAGCUUGAGUACAGAAGAGGAGAGUGGAAUUCCACGUGUAGCGGUGAAAUGCGUAGAUAUGUGGAGGAACACCAGUGGCGAAGGCGACUCUCUGGUCUGUAACUGACGCUGAGGCGCGAAAGCGUGGGUAGCGAACAGGAUUAGAUACCCUGGUAGUCCACGCCGUAAACGAUGAGUGCUAGGUGUUAGGGGGUUUCCGCCCCUUAGUGCUGAAGUUAACGCAUUAAGCACUCCGCCUGGGGAGUACGGCCGCAAGGCUGAAACUCAAAGGAAUUGACGG
rnacentral:rRNA from 1 species